UCAGAAGGAAGGUUUAAAAGGAGGGUUCUUCUUUGGCUCCCCAAGCACAGAGAUCCCAGGCGCCAUGCAGAGUCCACGGCUGCUCUUUGCGCUGCUGGCCAGCGUCAUACUUUUAGUGGCCGCCCUGGCUGGGACAGAAGCCCAGGAGCCAGUGGGCACCGAAAAGGCCCAGGAUGCAGACUCUCAACUGGAGGGGUCCCAUCCCAAGCCCUCAACUAGAGCCAGGGUGAAGCAAUUUGACUGGCGGAAGACUCCAAAGCCUGGAACAUACACCCCCUUGGCUGAAAAUAACACAGGAAACGUUGUCUGAAGGGAACCUUCCUCUGCCGCCGCUACCAUCAUCUUCUCGAGGGUGUGGGGUAGCUGUCCCUUUCCAACCGCUAAGCUCUUUGCUGGGGUCCUUGUACUGGUGGCAAUGUUUCCUGACAGCUGCGCUCAGUUGCUGGAUGUCUCUUGGCGUAUAUGCAGGGGCAACCCUUCUGUGAGGCGAGAGAGGAGGCUGUUCCCUCAAGCAGCAGGUUUCCGGGCAGCAGCAGGGCAGCCAGAUGUUGCCAGCUUCUCCCUGACCCCUCGCCUGCCUCCAGACUCCAGCUCUUGAAGACAGGGAAGGGGGCAGCAUGCCCCAGCACGCCUGUCUGGGCUGCUGCUUUCUCGCUGCAGGCAGCUCCAGAAGAGGCAUCGCGUUUUCUUUCUGGAAUGGACCCUCUCUGUCUUUUCCAGCACCGCAUGGAGCUUCCUAUUUGGCCUGCCCUGAUCAUAGCAAUAAACACAGUUUGCUUCCGAGAA